rnacentral:rRNA from 1 species
GACGUAGGUGGCGAGCGUUACUCGGAAUCACUAGGCGUAAAGCACGUGUAGGCGGGCGCUUAAGUCCGCUGUGAAAUCUCCCGGCUCAACUGGGAAAGGUCAGCGGAUACUGGGCGUCUAGAGUGAGGUAGAGGGUGCUGGAAUUCCCGGUGUAGCGGUGAAAUGCGUAGAUAUCGGGAGGAAUACCCGUGGCGAAGGCGGGCACCUGGGCCUCCACUGACGCUGAGACGUGAAAGCUAGGGGAGCAAACAGG